rnacentral:rRNA from 1 species
AAGACCUUGCGCUUUUGGAGCGGCCGAUGCCUGAUUAGCUUGUUGGUAAGGUAAAAGCUUACCAAGGCUUCGAUCAGUAGCUGGUCUGAGAGGACGACCAGCCACACUGGGACUGAGACACGGCCCAGACUCCUACGGGAGGCAGCAGUGGGGAAUUUUGGACAAUGGGGGCAACCCUGAUCCAGCCAUGCCGCGUGAGUGAAAAAGGCCUUCGGGUUGUAAAGCUCUUUCAGCCGGAACGAAACGGUUACGGAUAACACCCGUGACUACUGACGGUACCGGAAGAAGAAGCACCGGCUAACUACGUGCCAGCAGCCGCGGUAAUACGUAGGGUGCGAGCGUUAAUCGGAAUUACUGGGCGUAAAGCGUGCGCAGGUGGUUUUGUAAGUCAGAUGUGAAAGCCCCGGGCUCAACCUGGGAACU